rnacentral:rRNA from 1 species
ACACGCAUGACACACUGCAUAUCAAUAAGCGGAGGAAAAGAAACUAACAAGGAUUCCCUUAGUAACGGCGAGUGAAGCGGGAAGAGCUCAAAUUUGAAAUCUUCAAGGUUCUACCUUGACGAAUUGUAGUUUAUAGAAGUGUUUUCUGUUAGUGGAGUGGCAAAAGUUCUUUGGAAUAGGACAUCAUAGAGGGUGAGAAUCCCGUAUUUGGUCAUUCCUCCUAGCGUUGUGAUACACUUUCAACGAGUCGGAUUGUUUGGGAAUGCAGUCCAAAAUGGGUGGUAAAUUUCAUCUAAAGCUAAAUAUUGGCGAGAGACCGAUAGCGAACAAGUACCGUGAGGGAAAGAUGAAAAGAACUUUGAAAAGAGAGUUAAACAGUACGUGAAAUUGUCAAAAGGGAAGCGUUUGACACCAGUGUUGUUUUCUCGAAAAUCAAUUAAAAAUGAUGGGAUGUUGUGUUGUAUUGACUUUAUCAGCUUUCUGCACUUUUUUCUUGUCUUUUUUAAUGCACUUUUCGUUUAACAAGUCAACAUCAAUUUCUUUUGUUGUAAAAGAGUCAUUGGAAGGUGGCUUUUUCUUCGGAAAAAGUGUUUAUAGCCUUUGGCUUCUGCAAUCGGAGAGAUUGAGGUCUGCAGCGUAGAUCCUUCGGGGUUAGAUACAUUUGUGCUAAGCUAUAGUUCUUUAUAGACAACUUGUUGACUAUAAUCAAUCCUGUAAUUUACUCGCUUAUGCUAUUUUACCUACGCUUAGGAUGUUGAUCUACAGAGCGAGAGU